UUUCGUAUUCGAUGAAUUCGUGACGCGUCGUUCAAAAAAGAUUCUCAUUUCGUGCAGUAAUCCACGUCAAAAAUUAAACCAAUCGAAAAUAUUUACUCCCUAAUGCAAUUUAGGAAACUUAGACGAGUUAUCAACAUCAAGAUCGACAAGAAAAGGCGAGAGGUUUCAACGAACUACAACGAUGACUACGAUGACGACUACGACAACCAUGAACGUACAUCCCGAUGAGUCGGCUUAUCCGUUUUCGCGCGUCACUUCUAUACUUAGAUCUUAUACGUUUAUAAAACAGGGUACGACGAUGAGCGAGAGUCUUGUACAGGUGCUAUGAAUUGAGAAUGUCAUCAGCGACAGACUUCGGCACGCGUCAGAGUGUCUUUUCGAGUAAUGACAGUAUGACGAUUUACGCAAUCAAAAGUUUCUAAUGUUAAUAGUUAAAACGGGACAUGAGACUAAAUGUAUACACUUAGAUACAUAUCGGUCGAUUGCAAAAUAUUUAGCUAAACGUCAUUGGUUAGUCUUUAAAAAUGAAUUCAUAUAUAUAUAUGUAUAUAUAGUUAUACAAUAGCAAUGAAAAUAUUUUUUCAUGAUAAUAAUAGCAUUUCGUUAAAUCUCUAUUAAUUAAUUUUUUUGCGUGCAUUAAAGAAGAAGUGUAUAUUAAUUUCUGUGCAGUCGUUAAUCGCAUGAAAAAUGAAAUUAUUUACAAUCGUGUUAAUUAGUUUUAUAUAAAAGUAUUAUUCCAGUACCUAGAUAAAUAUAUCUAAGAUUUUAUCAAUGUUGAUUAUUUGUACGUAAACACGAAUAGAGAUUGAAAUCAUAUUUACGAUAACGUUCUCGUUUAACGAAAUAAACAUGGCGCAAACGAGAAAAGAAUCGAAAUAAAAGGGUAAAACCAAGGAAAGGCGUCCACGUAUGUAACUUACAUUGAUGAUUUAUAUGUAUGCAUACAUACAUACAUACAUAGAUACUUAGAUGCUUACGUAAGCACGUAUGUACGUAGAUAAGAAAACACGUUUAUUCGAGAAACGACGUGUUUGAAGUUAGCUUACUCGGCAAGAGUACGAAUCGAAUGAGAUUCGCAUUACGUUUUCUUUUUUAUUUUUCUCUUUUUGUUCUACUUCUCUUCUUUUUUUUUAAGAGAGAGAGAGAAAGAGAAAACAACGAGAAUCAUUUCGAACAUUUUCGAAGACGAAACACACGUCGUAAUAUUUAAUCAUUGCCGUAGUUACGAUACUCGCAAUCGUGGGUCAGAAUUGCGGAAGUGAUUAUCGACGGCCGCGAAAAAAAGCAUGACGGUGGAACGAUCCGCGUUCAAGGUUCUCGCAAGUGCAUGUGUAUUCCUGUUGAAGAACUUCCCGACACUUUAGCCUAUAGCGAGUGUUAUUAUAUAACCUAUUGACCUUUAUCGCGUUUGCGUUAGAAUAUUUACUGCGAUGAUAAGCGAGAGAGGUAAAUCGUUUUACACAGUGCGCGAGAAAUAUAGAAAUAUUAAAGAAAUAUUACAUAUUGAUGAAUUCCUAAAUGAUAGGUUACAACUUACCUUUCAUAUAUAUAUAUAUAUAUAUAUAUAUAUAUAUAUAUUUUCUUUUUUUAUCGUGAUACUUGAUUACUUCGCGAAAAGCUAAUUCAUUGUCGAGUAUAUUCCACAUCAUAUCGGUGAUAUAAGAAAAUUUUAAUGAAUCAUUAAGCUUCAAUAAAAAAAAAAAAGGAGUGUAUAAAUAUUUAAUCAAAUGCGUUGUCUUUUGAAUAUACACCUACGUACAAAUCUAUUAGAGUUUUACAUGUACUACUAAUUGAUGUUUUGAUAUACGUAUCGAAAGAAGUCCUACGAUCAUUUGGACAAUCAAUUAAAAGAAAAGCAAUGAAGAUAACUGGCUUCGAUCAUAAAGCUAUUAAUCGAUCGUUAACACUAGACGAACUUUCGAUUCCUUUUCUUUCAACUCUUUAUUCGAUUGGUAGAUAAGGGAUGAAAGGUGUGGUUAAGAGAUUAAGGCGGUGGCGGUUUCCUGGCGAAUUCGAGAAAUAGGCCGUGAUGGUAGCGUGCACGAGCGCGCGCGCACACACAUUUUGCUGCCAACGGCAGUAACAGUAACAGCAGCAGCAGCAGCAGCAGCAGUAGCAGUAGCAGCAGCAGCAGCAGCAGCUAGCAGGAGGUAGGUCGAUCCAAUUGGGGUUCGGAUAGCAGCUCAGCAGCGCGAUACCCUCUCCCCUCUGGAGUUUCCGUGGCGAUCAAUACCUACGGUGCCAAAGCCGAGCCAGUCUCUACCGAUUUCCACGAGGAACAAACAAAGCGAAGAGGAGGAGGAGGAAGAAGAAAAAGAAAAAGAAAAAAAAGAACGAAAGAUCCGACGAAGAA